AUUGAACGCUGGCGGCAUGCUUUACACAUGCAAGUCGAACGGUAACAGGGUGCUUGCACCGCUGACGAGUGGCGAACGGGUGAGUAAUGCGUCGGAACGUGCCGAGUAGCGGGGGAUAACGCAGCGAAAGUUGUGCUAAUACAGCAUACGUACUGAGGUAGAAAGUGGGGGACCUGCGGGCCUCACGCUAUUCGAGCGGCCGACGUCUGUUUAGCUAGUAGGCGAGGUAAAGGCUAGCCUAGGCGACGAUCAGUAGCGGGUCGGAGAGGAUGAUCCGCCACACUGGGACUGAGACACGGCCCAGACUCCUACGGGAGGCAGCAGUGGGGAAUUUUGGACAAUGGGCGAAAGCCUGAUCCAGCCAUGCCGCGUGUCUGAAGAAGGCCUUCGGGUUGUAAAGGACUUUUGUCGGGGAGGAAAUCCCCAGCGCUAAUACCGCUGGGGGAUGACAGUACCUGAAGAAUAAGCACCGGCUAACUACGUGCCAGCCGCCGCGGUAAUAC
rnacentral:rRNA from 1 species